rnacentral:rRNA from 1 species
CACCGGCAGCUCAAGUGGUAGCCACUUUUACUGGGCUUAAAGCGUUCGUAGCUUGGUCGUUAAGUCUCUGGGGAAAUCUUUUGGCUCAACCAAAAGGCGUCUCAGUGAAACUGACGACCUAGGAACCGGGAGAGGUAAGACGUACUUCGGGGGUAGGAGUGAAAUCUUGUAAUCCCCGAGGGACGACCGAUGGCGAAGGCAUCUUACCAGAACGGCUUCGACAGUGAGGGACGAAAGCUGGGGGA